GGACUGUGGCUCAGUGGUGGAGCACUUGCUUAGCAUGUGUGAGGCACUGGGUUCGAUUCUCAGCACCA
rnacentral:tRNA from 1 species